CCUAAUUUGAAUAUUCCGGACAUUUUUCGUGUUUUGACUUUUUCGAUCCGGAGUACGGUUUUCCCCGGAGUCGGUCCGGCGGAGUUUUUCGGGUAUUUUAAUUGUUGAUAAUUAUCUGGUUGUCUCGAUAAACGUGAAACUAGAUAUUUUGAUUCAUCCUUAUCUUGUAAUAAUUGCAGUGGGACCCGUAUACUAAUGACUGAUUAAAAAGCCCCGUUUUGAUGAUUAUCUUGAAAACCAGUACCGAUUGGACCCCGCUUUAUUAAUAUAAAGCUAUUAAAUACGUAUUUUCAUGUCAUAUACGAUCCAAAGGGGUACCAAUUAUUUGUAAAUAUAAAUAGACCUUUCUAGAGCUUAUUUUCACCCGUAAAAUCAUUUCACCAGUUUCUUUUCACGAAUACCGAGAGAAACCGAAGUAUGUUCUUCGUGUUCUUCAUAAUCAAACGAAGAUUUGAAGGUGUUAUUGGAAUCCGAUGGAGGCGUAUAAAUAGUCAAAACGAAGCUAUCGACGCGUAGAAUCAAGUUUAAUCAUCCGUUUAUAUGCAGAUUCAACAGAAAGGCUUAAAGAUGAGAUGAUUGAUUGAGAUUGUGGAUAAGGCUAAUGUUAGGCGAGGAGACAGAGUUGAGGAUCCAGUGGUCGAGGAGUGUUCAGGAAAGUUGAUGAGGUUGGUGCAAGCUAGAGCUGUGCUAUAGGGAUUCAAGUGUAAGUCAUAGCUGGAAUAGUUGACAGUGAUUCUUCUUAUCGAAGAUGUUCCGAUUUGGUAAGAAAUGUUGUGUAAUAUUAGUGGUGGAUUCUAAUUUCAAUACUGUAACCUGGAAGCGAUCCUGUUGUUUUGGGGGUGAAGAUGUUCUCUUUUGAAUC